AUGGUGACUCCCAGCACUGGGGAAGUGACGCCCAAGGCUGCUGUUGCCGCAGGUUCCCUGGUCCAGGCAGCGCUGACUCAGCCCCCAUCGGUCUCAGUGGAGCCAGGAAAGAACGCCCAGAUCACCUGCUCCGGGGGCAGCAACUGGUAUGGCUGGUACCAGCAGAAGGUGCCUGGCACUGCCCCUGUCACUGUGAUCUAUGCUAACGACAAGAGACCCUCGGGCAUCCCUUCGCGAUUCUCUGGAUCCAGCUCCGGCUCCACAGCCACGUUAACCAUCACUGGGGUCCAAGCCGAGGACGAGGCCGUCUAUUACUGUGGGAGCUAUGACAGCAGCACUGAUGCUGUUGUUGCAAUGCAGAGAGAUGUGAAAGUUCCCUGGUCCAGGCAGCGCUGACUCAGCCCCCAUCGGUCUCAGUGGAGCCAGGAAAGAACGUCCAGAUCACCUGCUCUGGGAGCAGCAACAACUAUGGCUGGUACCAGCAGAAGGUGCCUGGCACUGCCCCUAUCACUGUGAUCUAUGGUAGCACCAAGAGACCCUCGGGCAUCCCUUCGUGAUUCUCCAGAUCCAGCUCUGGCUCCACGGCCACGUUAACCAUCACUGGGGUACAAGCAAAUGAUGAGGCCGACUAUUACUGUGGGAGCUGGGACAGCAGCACUGAUG